CGGACACGGACACGGACACGGACGUCCCAUCCGGUCCCAUUCGAGCUCCCCCGUAACCCCGGGCCGGGGGUGGGGGGCGGCAGUUCCCGGUAAAUGACGGCGAUAACGGCGGAGCCCCAAAGCCGCACUGCGGCCCGGGCCGGCCCCGACUGAGGCGGGUGGCGGCAGCGCCAGCCCGGCGUUGGGAACGGCGGCGCGCAAAGCCGCAGGCGGUGUAAGGACCCGCUUUCCCGGUAGCGGCCGUCGCUCAAGAGUCACAUCAAACCAUCUGCCAGUCACCUCCCUUGCCUUUCUGGACCAUCCACAGCAGAGCCUGGGAAGAAUUUCUGCCUGUGAUUCUCAGAGGUAUCUAGUCAGUUCCCAGAGCUAAGUUCCUGGUGAAGAUGUGCCAGGCAUCUUCAAAAGGAAUUUGUUGCCUCUUACAGUGUACUGGAGCUGGGAUUCAGAGACUUUUUUUGCUAGAUCAUGUAGUAACUCCCAGCGUAGAAGAGCAUGGACUUCCAUCAGCACAGACUGUCAUAAACCAAAGGACAAAAUCCACAGACUGGGAACUGUGCUAGAGAGCUAGCUUCAAGUCUAUAAAAUUGCAAGUGUCCGUGUGUGACAGAUCCUAAAUAUUGAACACAAACAUUAGUAUUUACACUGGAGGUUGGGAAUAGACUCCUUCAAAGGCAAAGCCACAGGUGGCAAGGGUAAGAUGUAGCAACUAUCCCUGUAAGACCUGGGACAGCGUGAAGGAUAACUUUGGCAGGAUCUGUUCAAAAGCUGUUUUGUCUAGUUUUCCAUCUUUGUUUUUUUUCUUUUCUUUCCAGGAGUGGGCAGACAGUCUGGGGUGGGUUUUUUGCUGUUUUUGAACAAUGCACACUGAAGCAGGAGCUCAAGUAUAAGACAAAGACUGUUUUCAAAAUGGUUAGGUUUUACUGCCUGGUGAUAUUUUUUCGAAGUACAUUUACUGAAGAUUUAUGUAAAAUCUAUCUUUUGUCUACUUAAAAUAUGUCAAAUGGAUGUACAGGGCAAAAUUUAAUGCAUAUGGGUUUUCAUUAUUUUAAAUCAUUUGCAAUAUAAAUGAUUUACUAUGACAUCAGACAUUUGUUCUUUGGCUGUCCACCAUAAAUUGAGGCCCACCCAAAUUUCCACUCUUAGCUAUAUUUCUGCAUUCCCUCCCCCAGUAUCUAUAAUCUCAGUUCUGUGAUUCUUCAUGUAAAUGACUUUCUACAAGGAAAGGAAGAGAACAUAUAAUUUGCCUUAAUACAGGUAAUUUUGAAAGAGGAGCAAGACCUUUACAUGAGAAAUAGUUGACAGCCACGGAGAGAGGAGAACUAACGCUCAGAGAACAGAAAGUAAUUCUUGAUGAGAGUGGCGAGAGCUACUGAUCAACCAGAUGUGACCAAAUGGACUUUUUGUGCAGUUGAAACUGCCAGAGGUGAUAGACUUCUAUCUUUCUCUUUCUGAAUUUUUUCAUGUCUUUUUAGUCCCCUUAUAUUUAUAAUGCAAUUAAUCUAACUCUGGCCAGUUAAUGUUGUAGGCGACCGUUUGGAAAACUGAGGUAUUAGGGUAAGUCAGGUUCCCCAAGGUCAUUCUGAAAGUCCAUGGUGAAAAAACUAGUGACACCUGACAUGCAGAAUUGUGCUUUCAUGACAGACUUUGUCCCAACAGCUAUAAAAAUCUUGAAACACUCAAGACUUUUUGAAAGACCAUGUGGAAAACUGCAUUCGUUAUCAUGUUUGGUGGUUGUCUUAUGACAGUUAACGGGAUACAGACCUUUGGACUCAUCAAUAGCCUAUAUUUGAAGCCUUCUCUGCUCAGCAGUUACUGAAAAUUGUUACCCAAUAGCUCUUCAGUGGCCUACACUAUAAGAAUUAAACACCUGAACUCAGCCCAGUUUCUCAUCCAUGGAUGUCAUCUCAAAACCUACUAGGUCAACAGACUCUGCUGAGACUCUAAUUUCUACUCAUGGAAUUGAAAGACAGUUAAGUCUGAACCAAACAUUGUAUUUUUGCAAACUUCCCCCACGCACACCACAUAAUCUCAGUCUUGACGCAACUCCCUUCCCGCUCUGUCAAAGGAUUUAACUUUUUUCACAAUUUCAUGCAUUAUUGCUCAUGCAUGUACUUUUAAGAAAACCUCCGAAAUUUGACAUGCCUAAAGAUUUGUAGCAAUUCUGAGCAAUAUCAUAAACUACAGCAACAUCCUAAGGGGAAUCUUACUUCUGACAUCCAGGCUAUCUGUCCAAUCCUAUAGCUACAGUGUGUCUGACAAUGCCCGUUUAUCUCUGUUUGCUGUCUUUCCCACAGUGCUAGUCCUAAACCAAACAACAGCACUGCCAACAAUCUUAACCUUGAAAUCAGAGCAGGGUUAGAUGAUGUGGUGGGCCUGCAUGUGCUUGCCUUCAUUCUAGCUUCCAGUAGCUCUACCACGAUGAGAUCCAAUUGAGAAAAUCUCAGUGUAGUUCUGAUUUAUGUGCAAAAGUGCAGAGGAGAGCAGAAGCUUUUAGUAUCUUGGGAAGUAGUUAAGAAUUAAGGCCAAAGAAAGGACAGUCAUGUCAAUUACAUCCUAAAAAAAGAAAACUUAAGUGAAAGUCCUGGCUCCUGAACUGUUUCUGGGCUGGCAGAUGUUCACAGUUCUCUUGGCAGAUACUGUAGAAAGCUAAUGGGCCCAUUUAGAUCCCCUCCCUUACACAACGGCAUUGGUUUUACAAUUUUGAGGGAGGCCUGGUGGGGCUGUGAAAUUUCAGCAUUUUUCCUGAAAUGAAAUUAGGGAAUGCAUUUAAUAUUUUAAGAUCUCUGAUGAUCUCUUGUCAGGAAUCUCCACUGAACCCGGCACUUUACUCCAGAUGCGGCUGAGGGAAGAAAAUCUCAUGUGAAGUGCAAGGCUGACACCUGGAGGGGACUGCUGAGAUGCAGCUAGGGGAGUCUGGAGGAGUUAGGGAUUCUGUAACACAAGAGGUUGGGUUAGGAAAGUCCAGAGGGAGUAGCAAGAUCCCAGGUUUUGAAACUGCUCUUUUCUAGUGAAGAGGUGCUUUAGAUAUUCUUCCCUCUUCCCUUUUCCAACAAUAAAGAAAAAUCCAGAUUUCUAUUUCAUAUUUGCCAUGUCUAUUUUUAGGAGUGGAGAAGAACAUAGAAGCAAACUCUGUGUCAUCUAGUUAUUCACUUCUUCCAUGUUCAGGAAUAUUUGGAUCAAAACUUACCUUGCUCAAUAAGCUGCUACAAAUAAUGCAAGGUUAUUUUUUCAGUCGGUUAGUCUAAUGUAUUUGAGUUGCUGUAUUUCAGACUUCCUGCUGCUUUACCAUUUGUGUAACUCUGUGCUCUGAGUUUCUGCAGUACAGACUUGCAGGGCAAUUCCUACUGUCAAAGCUGCAGCUGGAAGAUUUGGCGUUAGGUAGAGCUUGCUCUUUUCAUGUCUGACUCUGCCAGCACCCAUGGUAAGGCUUUUCUUGAAGGUGAUCCUAAUCAAGGAAUGCAAGGCAGCUUCUGGGACAAAGUCUUCAUGCUUUCAGAAGCUUGCUUUCCAGCCUGGCAAUCACCCAUUCAUAGCACUUACUCAAAUCUUUCAGUAAUCUCUCUUCUCUUCCAGGAAUUGUCUCAGUAUUUGUGAAUAUUGGUUUUGCUUGAUCUAAUUUUAGAAUAUGUUAAUAACUGAGUUAUUUACUGUGCUGGCAUUACCAUACACUUAGUAUCUCAUGAACCCAAAGAUAAUAUGUCCGUUACAUCUCCUUAAUUCUCUUUGUCAUUGCCAGUGUGGCUCCAAUCAUCGUAAACUUUGCUUAGCAGUGAAUAGUUGUUUAUGGAAAUGAAAAAAACCCAAAACCAACAAAAAAACCCCAACAACCAACAGUUAUUUUCAGAAUUCUUAUAUGCAAUUCUACUAAUCCACCUGCAGUACACCUCCCCAAGUCUCCAUAUGUCUUCACUGGUGCACCUCAAUACUGACUGACUGCAUGUCUUCUUUCCCUUCUAGCCUUCAGACUCCUCUAAAAUAUCACCAAUAUUCAGUUCAUCCUGAUGAGCAUACUAAACUACUCCGUACAUUCCCCACCCAGACCAGCUUAAUGGGUAAGCCAUGAAAAUACUUGCUUCAGUCUGGGGAGUAGAAGAGAGGCAUGUUGCCAACUUCAGUAGCAGCACAAAACAUUCAGUGUGCUGGAGGUACUUCUUUUCAGCCCAGAGACCUGGGAAGUCUAAUGCUAUAUCUGUGGCUACUGUUUCUUCAGCGCUUCUCAUUAACUGUGGCAUGACUCUAAAGAGGCAGUAACAUUUUCCCCCCUCCUCCACCUCAACAAUACUGCCAACGCUGGAUUGUCAGUUAUGCUGAAUUAUACUGGAUCAUUUGUGGUUUUUCAGUGAUGUAGACAAAUACCAACUCAAGAUCAAGGGUGAACCCUGGCUGCUAAACUUGCUUCACUUGUGACUCAUUCCAGACUUAAAACCUGGCUCUUGCUGACAUUUUAUUAACCCAAUUUGUCAUCCUCCUAACCCCCAUUAUCCAACCCAGGCAGAUUAUUUACUUUGAAAAGAUGUGUAGAUAGCUUCCAUGCGAAUCAUAAGUAGAUCCAGGUGCCAUAGCUAGAUUCCAGAGGGAGCUAUAGUCAUAAGAUACAUGUGCUAGCAAAAUAACUUCUGUCCUAGAUGCUUCAAAACUCAGUGACAUUCUUCUUGUUUAGAUGUUGUCUGGACUCCCAUUCCUGCAAAGCAGCCUGGCACCAAUAUGGUAAAGUGCCUAAGUACAUGCCUUCAGGCCUGUGCAUGGUCCAAAAGAGAUCAACAAAGAUAAGUGAUUGCUGGGGACACUGGAGGGCACUGAAGUUUAUAGAAAAAGGAACACUAUAAUGAAGCUUUAUUGGGAUGGCAUCACCAAACAAUUGCUGUGAUAGCAACACUCCCAAGCUUGGAAAAGUGCCAGCAUUCCCCCCCUGGAACUGACUCAGACACUAGCCUCUCUGGCUCAGGACUGACGCAGAAAAUGGAUGCUUUCUGGCUCAUAAAAUGGCCUCUUUCCGGCUUGGAAAUGACAGAGGAACUGUCCACUUCUGAUUUGGAAAGGACUUGGGAACUGGUCUUUCUCCGUUGAACAAUGACUUUGAAACGCACCUUUUUUUUGCUUCAUUCUGACUUGAAACUAUAAAAGUGUUUUUUUAAAUUUGGCCAGGACUAGACAGAAAGAAGAAAGAUGAUUUUACCAGCUCUAUACAAUAGCAGAGUUUGUUAAAGGCUUCAGUGGGAAUUAGAAAACCAAGGCUGCAAGUAGAAUAGAUGAUCUUUCCAUCUCAAAGAUCAAACCCAGUUAAGAUGAGAGUGUAUUUGGAAAAAAACGUACUAUGGUGUGGGGUUAUUGAGUAUCUAUAACUUACACAGAAGACAUGGAGCAUUAUCCAAGAAUACAAAUAGCAAUCCAGACUUACUCACUCUAAAAUUAAAAAAAAAAAAACCCACCACAAAAACCUCAAAUGACAGUGGGACUGAACCGACAAACUCCAAAUUCAAGCACCCCAAACUACAGAGAAUUUCAAACUCGGAUUCAAGCUGGAUCCUGCAUGUACAUCCACAGGGUCAGCUAUUGCAGUCGUUACAAGCCAGUGGUGCAAGAAGGUGCUCCACAUUUCAUGUGCAGAGUCCAACAUUUUCCAUUGGAAGUCUGCCUUUAGAUUCACUGCUGUGGUCCCUAUAUAUUUCAGUUGUGUUUCUCCAAGUUAUGACUAUUGGGCAACUAAUGUGACUUUGAGUGUAAUUUAACAGCAUCAUCCAUGGUGGGGUGGGAAGGGAAAAUAUAAUCCCAAAUUAGUGCGUAACUGGCUUCUAGGGAACUUGACUGGGAUAAAAGGAUGGUUUUUCUUCCAAAACAGAAUGACAAUGCCAAAUUUUACAUUAUAUUGCAUUUUGUCCUCUGCAAUUCCUGUAUUGGGAUCUGAGAUCAGAAAGUUAUUUUGAGAACAAUAGUGACUUUAAUGUAUUGCCUGCUCUUAAAUGUUUUUUUUCCUAAGUCUCCUCAUCUUCUGAAAUCAUACUAUAAUAAAUCGCAAUGUCAGCUUUGCUUUAAAAAAA